CUGCCUCAAUGCGUUUAAGAUAAGCUAGCAAUAAAAAAAGUAGUAGAAAUAUCUACAAUGGUGGGCUUUUUGUUGCGCUUAUUUUGCGAAUUGGGACAUGGAUACGAGUAAGGUGUAACCAUUUAGGGUUAUAUGUUUUCUCCUAUGUCUUUUUGCGUUGAUAAGCAGACUAAAGCUCCUAUUUGGAAAUUUAGUCUGUAUUUUUUAU
rnacentral:ncRNA from 1 species